rnacentral:rRNA from 1 species
CCUACGGGUGGCAGCAGUGGGGAAUAUUGCACAAUGGGGGAAACCCUGAUGCAGCAACGCCGCGUGAGUGAAGAAGUACUUCGGUAUGUAAAGCUCUAUCAGCAGGGAAGAGAAUGACGGUACCUGACUAAGUAGCCACGGCCAACACCGUGCCAGCAGCCGCGGUCAAACGUAGGGGGCGAGCGCGCUCCGGUUUUACUGGGUGUAAAGGGAGCGUGGAACGUUCUGCAAGUAUGAGGGUAAACCCCGGGGUUUAACCGCGGAUCGGCUUUGGAAACUGUGGAACUGGAGUGCUGGAGAGGCAAGCGGAAUUCCUUGUGUAGCGGUGAAAUGCGUAGAUAUUAGGAAGAACACCAGUGGCGAAGGCAGCUUACUGGACAGUAACUGACGUUGAGGCUCGAAAGCGUGGGGAGCAAACAGGAUUAGAUACCCUGGUAGUC